GGUGGGAUCCCUUUGGUAGAAGGGUGCUCGAUCACUUACAUGGUGUUCCGUGAGCCGGGAUCCCACAGUUGAAUCCCUACGUAGGUGAGAGACAUGUUAGGCUAUGUCAGGAAGAGAUCCCCUCUCCCUGGACCCAUAAUCUCCCCUACCC